UUGGUAAAUUUCUUGGUUAAGUCUGAGUUCAGACGGACCGAGAUGAAGUGUGGGAGUUUUUCAGCCUCAUAUCCGAGAACUGACUCAAGUACACAACUGCAUCAGCGACCUAACUGGCUGAAAUUAUCGCCCAUCCCAGAAGCAUAAUUUACUCGGACAAAAUAUUUAUACAGAGGCGGACCGAAAUCACUUACAACAAGCCCAUUCACGAAACCGAGUGGAAACAGCCCACGUUACCAGCUCUCGAGACUUCUGAUCAGGCUCAGCACUUUUAAGGAACGCCGCUGCUUCAAACAUCUGCGCAAAGACGUACUCAGCAGCAUCAUGAACUUUUUGGCUGCACUACACUGUGUGAUACUUAUAACAGUUUGCGAAAUAUUUGAAGAUCAUCGAACGAACGCUGGCAUGUGCUGGCUGCAGCAGGGUCCGGAGCACCGCUGUGAUAUGGUGCUCAUGAGAGGCGUGAGCAGGGAAGAGUGCUGUGCGGCCGGCCGUCUGGACACCGCCUGGUCCAAUACCAGUCUGCCUAUCAAUGAAGUCAGCCUGCUGGGAUUCCUGGGAAUAGUUUCCUGUAAGCCGUGCAAAGAGAACUGCGAGGGGGUCAACUGCGGCCCUGGAAAGGUGUGCAGGAUGAAGUCUGGACGUCCCCAGUGCGUAUGCUCUCCAGACUGUUCCAACAUCUCCACUAAACACUCAGUGUGUGGGAGCGAUGGGAACUCGUACAAGGACGAGUGCGCACUCCUGAUGGCUCGCUGCAGAGGUCACCCUGACCUGGAGAUUAUGUACCAGGGGGAAUGCAAAAAGUCCUGCUCGAAUGUCGUAUGUCCUGGGACGCAUACCUGCGUGACAGACCAGACCAACAGUGCCCACUGCGUCAUGUGCCGCACUGCACCCUGCCCGAUGCCCAUGGUCACUGAGCAAACCAUCUGUGGCAAUGAUAACACCACUUACCCCAGUGCCUGCCACCUGCGUAGGGCUACCUGUUUUUUGGGUCGAUCCAUAGGGGUCCGCCAUUAUGGACACUGCAGAAGAAAUGAAGAAAGUGAGGAGAAUUCACUCUUCUGAGGAUGUCAAGAGCAUAUCCACUCCCUGUACAUAUUAUGAUGGCACAUAAGACUUUUCUAGGCCAGUGGGAACCUUGACAUGAGCUCUCUGUAUGCCAGACAUAGUAUAUCAGCAUUAUCAGCCAUGAGCUUUUUGACAACUCUACUAUGAACAAAGCACAUAGAAUAUUAACCAGCAAAAACGAUGACCAAACACCACUGAACAUUCCUAAGUACAGCUUUCCCAAAAACGUGCCUCUCUGCAAAAGCCAUGUGGAGUCCCAGUUGAAAUUCUAAUGGACAUGGGAGACUACUUACUCAUUGAGAUAAAGUGUUGUGCGUGUACUGUUUGUAUUCAGAGGGAUUACUCAGCCAAAACAGCUACGCUUCCAGGCCACGUUCACACUGACGUGAAGACCAAACUGAGCCACCCACCCACCAAGCAAUGAAAUCACCAGCUACAGUCUGAUGGCAGCAGUUUUUUACGAGGAUGCUGGGAAUGUACUGUUAAAUUAUGUACAGUACAUUCUACUGUUGUAAUGGUUUUCACAUUGUCGGGUUGUGUUUUUGUCGUUUUGUGUGUGUUUGAGUUUUAUGGUUGCUUGACCUUGUUGUAUACUUAAAAGGUCAUAAGGAGUAUUUCAAUGACUAGGUGUUUUAUCUGACUCCCAGUAAAUCAUAUUGUGUAAUGCAAAAAGCAGCAGAUAAUUUGGUAGAUGCAGAUAUUUGUGUAAAUCAUCAUUGUACAAGUUUGUAGUCAGUAGAUAUUUAACCUUCCUGUAAAUAGAGAGCUUUUGCAGUAUCUGAAUAUAUACUGUAAAAUUCAGUUUAUUCAAUUGCAUAUUUUUGUAUUGUUUACUUACACUUUUUUUUUAUUAAAACACAAAAUUAAUGUUGUGUUAAUAUGAUUCUAAUGGAUUUUGCUGAUUUCGAAAGCCCAUUCAUGUCAUUCAGUUUGACAAAUUGAUAAAACAAUUAAAAAAUCAAUUGUUUAAAUA